rnacentral:lncRNA from 1 species
GCCCAGUGGCGGUGUGAACUGUGAAGAGUUCGCCGAGUUCCAGUUGAAAUGGAUGCAGUCAGAACUCAAUGUUGAAGAAGUGGUAAAUGACAGGAGCUGGAAGGUGUUUAAUGAACGCUGCCGAAUUCACUUCAAGCCUCCAAAGAAUGAGUAGAGAGAGAGUUUUUUCUUAAAAAAGACCCGGUCAUCUCGUCGCCUGAGCAUGACAGAUGUCAGCAGGCCAACUUCUGAGAGUGGUCUCUGAGCCAGCAGGUCAAGGCCUUUGGUUGGUUCAGCCCCAUCCAGCCAAGACCGCGAGUCUAAUUCUCAUAAUUAUAAAAUAAUCAAUUGCUAUUUUAUACUGAUUCUGUAAAAAAUGUUUUGUAACUAUUAAAAUAAUUUUCUG